UUUUUUUAAAUAAAGCAAUUUUUGUCAAAAGAAAAUAAUUUUUUACAGUAAUCUUACCAAAGUAAGUGAAGAAGCAAGUUGUUUAUGCAAUGCUAGCCAGUGACUUUUGUGCAUACUCAGGUAGGCACCUUCAGUCUGGAAAAAAUGCAGCUGUCUCCUUGCAAUCUCUAAUUGUCUCAUCACUAGUCAUUCCCAGUUUCCACAGAACACCAGGAACAGGGUGGGAAUUGUGAAUGCUUGCAUUGGCAUUUCCCUUUCUGCUGCAUCAAAGGUCACCACUGCCUUGCUGGGGGUUACUGUCUCUCCCCUGGGCUAGAUGAGAUGAAGCUGGGAGGAUUGUCUAGCCCAUGUCAGGCAGAAAGAGAUGGGUAAGCAAUAAUUCACUGUUUAAACAGGCUUUAAGCAAGUUGGCUCAUUUUAAGCGCAAUUCUAGCAAUAGUUCAGCCAGAAAAUCAGGAGUGGGAGGGUGUGUAUAACCUCUAGGAAGAGGGUGGUGACAAGUAGCUGGCUGAGGGCUGCAUAUGGAAACCACUUCUAGUGGCACAGCAGCAGCCAAAGAAGUAUGACUAUAUUGACUGCUAGCACUGCUGGCAGCUUGCUGCUGGCUUUAUCUGGAUGGAAAUUGUCUAGAUCUCUCACUCAAAAAAUGUCUGUCACUGUAAAAAUGGGGAAGGGAAUAGAAUUUCUAAUAUUCAUCGGGUAUCUUGUAUCUAUCACACAAAAAAAAAAAAAAGAGAAGGAAGGAAACUUUCUUAAUCAAAAGGAAUAAAGUAAGGGCAAAUGUAGGCAGGAGAUCAAAAGGUAUCUCUGCCAGUGAAAUCCAUUAGCCUUGAAGUAAUCUCCUAAGGGAACUGAAGACAUUCCCAUUGCUUGAGAUAUUUAAAACUAGGUUAGACAAAACACUAGGAAGUGUACAAUGGAGGACAAUCCAUAAUCAGCAGGAAAAGGGAUUAAAUAGUCUUAAUAAGCCUUUAACAUACAUUCUGUGAUUUCAGUGCCAAGACUUCACAUGUCCCUCUGCUCUGUCUCCUCCCUGCAGCUGCCAUAAUGGGAGAUUAUGAAAUCACUGUAAAUGUGAGCAAUUAACUAUUGUAAUAGAAUUUGAUAAUGUAAUGGUGCUGAAUUUUUAUUCCUCUUAGUCUCAACUAAGACUCCUUUUAUGGUGGAUUUAAGUUGAUUUUUUUGUAGAGCUAUUGCAAUCUUCCAGUACAGAGAUUUAGAGUGAUGUGUUUCUAAUAAUUGUUUUGGGUUUCAAGCAGUGAUUUUGUUUUUAGUUAAACAUGUCCUUUUUCCCCCCUAAAUUUCAAAAUUCCUAAGUAGUUUAUCUAAAAAUCCCAUCUUUUACUUCUGUGUUUAAUCACUCAUCAUUAUCCCACAUCCUUCUAAAUGUUUCGUCUUUUGAGAGCUCAGAAGUGCCAAGAGGCUUGUCUUAGUAAAUCAGCAGGUGAAAGAUGUGCUUUGUGGCAUAAAGAUGAGUUAGUAUUUAUAUCUCUGUUCUGUAAAUGCUAGGUCACUGUGGAAGUAUUCAGAUUGACAAUGUAUGUUUAUAAACACUGUCUAAGAAGAAUUUAUUGCUUCUCAAAUACCACUGUUUGCUAUGAUCUCUGACAAUUUUUCACAUUUCCUGUUGUGUUGGUUUGAUACUGUGUCCUUAGGUCCAGAUGACUGCUUGAAUCAUGUUCACACUGAAAUAUGGGGUAUUUUGUUUAGUUUCACCAGGGGAGAGGCCAGCACUGUGGUUUAGAGAGGUCCUACCAGGGGAGACAGCUCAGUGAAAUCAAGCUUCAUGCUUAAGUGGUGCUUGCAGCAGCAGAUUCUCUUCUGUGCCAUCAUUUUCAGUGAGAUUGAGCAAAUGGUUACCUGCAAAACCUUGAAGUGGUACACACAUAAAUCUAGAAGAAGCCCUGACCAUAAUUUCAAGAUCCAGAUUGAAUUUUCUGUACGUAACAUCAUUAGGAAGAAAGCUUUAUGCUAGGUUCUCAGGCAUGGAAGCAGAGGAUUUUCUACUUGUCUUAGCAAAAUGAAUGCUGUUUUUUUCCCAGAUAAAGCAAUUACUAGAGAAUAAACAUCAAUGCACAACA